UUUCCGUAGGUGAACCUGCGGAAGGAUCAUUACAGAGUUCAUGCCCUCACGGGUAGACCUCCCACCCUUGAAUAUUUGUACCUUAGUUGCUUUCGCAGGCCGUGGAAACACCAUGGGCUCCGGCUUAUGCGUGCCUGCCAGAGGAAACAAACUCUGUUUUUAGUGAUGUCUGAGUACUAUAUAAUAGUUAAAACUUUCAACAACGGAUCUCUUGGUUCUG
rnacentral:misc_RNA from 1 species